AUUAUUGAGUUUAACAAAGCGGACUUGAUGCUGGCAUGUCUCUGGACUUGCAUGUGCUCAGUCUGCGCUCAUCCACUUCACACCUGUGCACUUUCAAAGGGGGAUUGGAUCUUAUUAGAUAGAUUUGCAAAGAUCUUCGAACAGUUCAGUUCUUCUUUACAUAUAUAAACACUAUAUUGUUUGUGUAGAAUGUACUUGCCUCUUGUAGGUGAAUAAUACUAUACAACUUUCAACAACGGAUCUCUUGGCUCUCGCAUCGAUGAAGAACGCAGCGAAAUGCGAUAAGUAAUGUGAAUUGCAGAAUUCAGUGAAUCAUCGAAUCUUUGAACGCACCUUGCACUCCUUGGUAUUCCGAGGAGUAUGCCUGUUUGAGUGUCAUGUUAAUCUCAAUUCAACAUGUUUUUGUGUUUGAAUUGGACUUGGAGUCUGCUGGCGUCAAAGUCGGCUUCUCUUGAAUGCAUUAGCUGGGCUUUUGCUCGAGUAAUUGGUGUAAUAGUUCUCUACAUUCGCCGUUACACUUGCUUAGAAAGUCUGCUUCUAACCGUCUUGUAAUGAGACAAUAUAACUUUGACUUUUGGCCUCAAAUCAGGUAGGACUACCCGCUGAACUUAAGCAUAUCAAUAA
rnacentral:rRNA from 1 species